rnacentral:lncRNA from 1 species
AGUCAGUCAGCCUUCCCCAGGUGUGAGCCUGUGCAGUCAGGGACCAGGACACUUCCUGACACAGGUGAGCGGGUCAGCUUUCCACAGCUGGGAGCCUGUGCACUCAGCUAUCCUUACACUUCCAGAUGCAGGUGAGAGAGUCAGAUGCCUUCCCCAGCUGGGAGCCUGUGCAGUCAGGGACCAGGACACUUCCUGACACAGGUGAGCGGGUCACGGGUCAGCUUUCCACAGCUGGGAGCCUGUGCACUCAGCUAUCCUUACACUUCCAGAUGCAGGUGAGAGAGUCAGAUGCCUUCCCCAGCUGGGAGCCUGUGCAGUCAGGGACCAGGACACUUCCUGACACAGGUGAGCGGGUCAGCUUUCCCCAGCUGGGAGCCUGUGCCGCCAGGAAUCCACACACUUGCAAAAUGCAGUGAAGGAGCAGGAGUAAGCUGUUCAGUUCCUAUUCAUCUGGGAGAAAUAAUCAGGAAAGGGGUGACUGAUCCCAGCUAUGCUGAGAACCCUGCCACUGUGGCUUUGCGAGGCUUAGUGCGCCAUCUUCACACACAGUUGGAGACUUGGGCUGCAGCUUUUCAGGGCUGCAUGAACACAUUGAUUGGCCUGUACUUCCAAGGUCUCAAAGGAAUCCCCCAUCAAUUUGCUCUCAGCAUCUUGGGAUUUAUACAGCACCCCAGCAAAGCACAAAAUAGCCAAGAUUGUAAAACACUCAGAUGAGGGAGAAAGAUGAGAGCCUUUCACUGGGGUGGGGUGGGGUAGAGCUUCACAUUCGUCUACGAGAGAGUGGGACUGAGAGUGCCAGGGAAAUGUGAAGAGUUCUUUUCUAUUAACAUGUGAAAGAGGAGGAAAUCACAAUACAUGUGAUCAUGUGAUCAUCCCUGAGCAGAACACAGAGCCUGAUUAUUCCACACAAGUGUGAGGAAGAUCCAUUCUGUUUGCAGGAAGAACUAGGACUGCUCACCCUAGGCUGGAUCCAUGUAAGCAAAUCUGACCUCCCCAAGGGCAGGCCUCCUCCCAUCUCUUAGAAGCACAUUGGCCAAGUCUUUCUCUUAGCAGAGUCAAGCCAUUCCAUCUCUUUUGUGUCUGAGCACACAUGACUGCUUGUGUCCCAACGCUGAGGGCUUUAAAACACUUCUAAUCUUCAUCUGUUAUUAAAAGCAAUUCUUCAGCAUUCCAGUUCCCACUGAGGUUAGGGUAAAGGAUAGCUGUCAUAGGACAGACACAGACAUGUGCCUAAAAGCUGUAUAUAUGAAGCAUUUAAAUAAGCCAAGGGAGUUCAUUCUGGUGAUUGCAUUUUUUUCCUUCAGAGAGCAGCACUUGGCUUUGUGCACACCCAAGAGCUCCUCCAUCACCUUUUCCAGUGUUUGCACACACCAUGCACACUUAGGAUGACCUUCAAGGAAACGCAGCUCCUUCCCAAGAGUGCUUCUGGGUGUUUUGUUUCAAGACCUGAAACUCAUAGAACAAGCUGCUGUCUUGGGGUGUCACAGCUAUAGCCACAAUCAGGUGGUUUAUUUCUGCUUUUGGAGAGAUCACAGACAACUGAACUCAGAUCUCAGCAAGUGCUGACCUGGGAGGCAGGCUCCUGUGCCUUCAUCCUUUUCUGUUCCCUUGUAUAAAUCACGACUCUUUGCAU